AAGGGCUUAGCUUAGUUAAAGCUAUUGAUUUGCGUUCAUUUGAUGUAGGAUAGAUUCCUGCAGUCCUUG
rnacentral:tRNA from 2 species